rnacentral:rRNA from 1 species
CUACGGAACUCCUACGGGAGGCAGCAGUGGGGAAUAUUGGUCAAUGGGUGCAAGCCUGAACCAGCCAUCCCGCGUGAAGGAUUAAGGUCCUAUGGAUUGUAAACUUCUUUUGUAUAGGGAUAAACCUACCCUCGUGAGGGUAGCUGAAGGUACUAUACGAAUAAGCACCGGCUAACUCCGUGCCAGCAGCCGCGGUAAUACGGAGGGUGCAAGCGUUAUCCGGAUUUAUUGGGUUUAAAGGGUCCGUAGGCGGACUUAUAAGUCAGUGGUGAAAUCCUGUCGCUUAACGAUAGAACUGCCAUUGAUACUGUAAGUCUUGAGUAUAUUUGAGGUAGCUGGAAUAAGUAGUGUCGGUGAAAUGCAUAGAUAUUACUUAGAACACCAAUUGCGAAGGCAGGUUACCAAGUUAUAACUGACGCUGAGGGACGAAAGCGUGGGUAGCGAACAGGAUUAGAAACCCCUGUAGUCCUCUUCGA